rnacentral:rRNA from 1 species
GACGAACGCUGGCGGCGUGCUUAACACAUGCAAGUCGAACGGAAAGGCCCUGCUUUUGUGGGUUGCUCGAGUGGCGAACGGUUGAGUAACACGUGAGUAACCUGCCCUUGACUUUGGGAUAACUUCAGGAAACUUUGUCUAAUACCGGAUAGGAGCUCCUGCUGCAUGGUGGUGGUUGGAAAGUUUCGUCCGUUGGGGAUGGACUCGCGGCUUAUCAGCUUUUUGGUGGGGUAGUGGCUUACCAAGGCUUUGACUGUUAGCCGGCCUGACAGGGUGACCGGGGAGAUUGGGAAUGGAAUACCGCCCCGAGUCCCACGGGAGGCAGCAGUAGGAAGUAUAGCACAAUCGGCGGAAGUCAGAUGCAAGAACGCGGCGUGCGGGAUAGUGGCAUUCGGGUCGCAAAUGGCUACCGCGAAAGAAGAAAAAUGAGUGACGGUAAUGGGGAGAAAAGAACGGGAUAACUACGUU